rnacentral:misc_RNA from 1 species
UUUCCGUAGGUGAACCUGCGGAAGGAUCAUUCAUAAUAAGUGUUUUAUGGCACUUUUUUAAUCCAUAUCCACCUUGUGUGCAAUGUCAGGGUUGAUUUUUCUCUCGAGAGGAUCAGCCGCAAACAUCAACUAUAUCUCAACUCUUUGUCUGAAAAAUAUUAUGAAUAAAACAAUUCAAAAUACAACUUUCAACAACGGAUCUCUUGGCUCUC